rnacentral:hammerhead_ribozyme from 1 species
GCUUAGCUGAUGAGUCCCAAAUAGAACGAGGCACGCGUCCUGGAU